rnacentral:rRNA from 1 species
ACUCCGGAACUGCAAUCAAAACUUUUUAGCUAGAGUAUGAUAGAGGAAAGCAGAAUUUCUAGUGUAGAGGUGAAAUUCGUAGAUAUUAGAAAGAAUACCAAUUGCGAAGGCAGCUUUCUGGAUCAUUACUGACACUGAGGAACGAAAGCAUGGGUAGCGAAGAGGAUUAGAUACCCUCGUAGUCCAUGCCGUAAACGAUGUGUGUUAGACGUUGGAAAUUAAUUUUUAGUGUCGCAGCGAAAGCAAUAAACACACCGCCUGGGGAGUACGACCGCAAGGUUAAAACUCAAAUGAAUUGACGGGGACCCGCACAAGUAGUGGAGCAUGUGGUUUAAUUCGAAGAUACGCGCAGAACCUUACCAACACUUGACAUGUUCGUCGCGACUCUAAGAGAUUAGAGUUUUCGGUUCGGCCGGACGAAACACAGGUGCUGCAUGGCUGUCGUCAGCUCGUGUCGUGAGAUGUUGGGUUAAGUCCCGCAACGAGCGCAACCCUCACUUUUAGUUGCCAUCAUUUAGUUGGGCACUCUGAAAGAACUGCCAGUGAUAAGCUGGAGGAAGGUGGGGAUGACGUCAAGUCCUCAUGGCCCUUACGUGUUGGGCUACACACGUGCUACAAUGGCAUUUACAAUAGGAAGCAAGAUGGCGACGUCAAGCAAAUCCUAAAAAGAUGCCUCAGUUCGGAUUGUACUCUGCAACUCGAGUACAUGAAGCUGGAAUUACUAGUAAUCGCGGAUCAGCGCGCCGCGGUGAAUACGUUCCCGGGUCUUGU